rnacentral:rRNA from 1 species
GAUGAACGCUAGCGGCAGGCUUAACACAUGCAAGUCGAGGGGUAACAUAGAAAAGCUUGCUUUUCUGAUGACGACUGGCGCACGGGUGCGUAACGCGUAUACAACCUACCUUUUAGCGGGGAAUAGCCCAGGGAAACUUGGAUUAAUGCCCCAUAGUAUAUAGACUUCUCCUGAAGUUUAUAUUAAACAUUUAUGGCUAUUAGAUGGGUAUGCGUCCUAUUAGUUAGUUGGUAAGGUAACGGCUUACCAAGGCAGCGAUAGGUAGGGGUCCUGAGAGGGAGAUCCCCACACUGGUACUGAGACACGGACCAGACUCCUACGGGAGGCAGCAGUGAGGAAUAUUGGACAAUGGGCGAGAGCCUGAUCCAGCCAUGCCGCGUGCAGGAAGACUGCCCUAUGGGUUGUAAACUGCUUUUACAGAGGAAGAACCACCCCCACGUGUGGGGGUUUGACGGUACUCUGCGAAUAAGGAUCGGCUAACUCCGUG